CCGGUGGAGUUGGGUAGCCUUAGCCAUCUUCAAGUCUUGAAACUUCAAUUUAACAAUUUGAGUGGUGGAAUUCCAAUUCAAAUUACUCAACUGCCCAAGUUGUCCAUUCUGAAUAUCAGCUGGAAUUCUCUCAACGGUUCAAUACCUCAUUCAGUUUCAAACAUUCAGAAUCUUACUAACAUGAACUUACAAGGUAACAAGCUGAGUGAUUCCAUUCCCACCAGUAUUGCCUCCAUGGAUUCUCUGAUGGAACUCCAACUUGGAGAAAAUCACUUAAGUGGUGACAUUCCGAGAAUGCCGAUGUCUUUGCAGAUUGCUUUGAAUCUCAGCAGCAAUCUUUUUCAAGGACCUAUUCCCGAAACUCUUUCGAGGUUCAGUAAUUUAGAAAUUCUGGAUCUCUCAAAUAACAAAUUCUCAGGUAAGAUACCAGAUUUUUUUACUGGAAUGAAAACCUUGACACAAUUGUUACUUUCUAACAAUGAGCUCUCUGGAGAAAUUCCGGAUUUCGGUUCUUGGGUCAUGGUCGACACAUGUGGGAACAAGGGUUUGACUAACAGAACUAGAAGAAGCACUCCACCCCAAACGGAGAAGAAGGAAAUGUCAUGUGCUGGAAAAUUCUUUUUGCGAUUGGGGCUACUGUUUUUGUUGUUGUAUCGAUCACCAUGUUGUGCGGAAGCGUCAUCUGACUGUACGGGAAAAAUAAAACAGAAUCGAAAUAAAACCAACACCAACAAGAACACCAAGAUUUAUAAUGGUUCGACAAUGCCUACAUCCAGUCUAGAGACGACAGAAUAUUCCACUGUAAUUAAAUGAGAGAAUACAAUAGUGUUUAACACUCAGAAAACCCAAACCCCAAAUAUACCCAAGCUCACACACUCAAGAAUAUAAAGGGAAUACACAUUGAGUACAAUUUAGAGAAAAAAAUAACAAGCCCAACUCUUAUUUUUUUCUUCUUUCACUUUUAUCUCUGAAUUUUAGCUCUCUCUAAACCCCACUUUUUUUCUAUCUACGGGCUGCUCCUGCUCUCCCUUUUAAAGCCAAAGAAAAUGGCUUCUCAACGAAACCAAUGGCCGAAGGCCUCCCAUCAAGUUAAAAAAGAAUUAGGCAUAAGUACACCCAUUUUUGUUUGUCUCCCACAUGCAGCAUGCCAACUAACAAAUACUAAAAGUAGCCGAAAGUAUGUUGUCUCCCACAUGCAGCAUGCCAACUAGUAGCCGAAAGUGUUGUUGCUUUUGACUAUCAACACACCAUCCUUGCAAUACCACUAUCUGGAUACAAAUUGGUCAAAAAAAGAAAUUAUUGAUUGCUUUUAAUUAGAUUAUGAUGUGAAGAUUCUUCGACGUAUACGUUUACAUUUUCUUAUAUACGAAACAAUACUUACGUUUUGUUAACAAAAAACCGUUUGAAGGCACUUCUUUAAGCUGCUCCUUAGCAUGAUCUCCUAAUUGUUCUAUCAGCUCCAAUAUAUAUAGACUUCUCCUGCAUUCUAGAGAAGGUGAAGGGAUAACAACUCUUAAUAACAAUUUUCUUCAGUUUAACACCAGUUGAGCGAUGAUCGUGCCCCACGAUUUCCACAACCUUCAGGAAAUUAUGGGACAAGUUGGUGGCUCUCUCAAAAUUUCUCAGUGAGAUCGACAGGCAAUCUGCACCAAAAGAACAACUUUUAGUCUAUAUAAAUGUAAAAACCAAGACUUCCAUCAAACCUAUAGCUAAACUCCAUUGUCGUUAGAGCAAUAUACAAGUGAACAUGUAUCUCUUAGAAAUUAGAAUACAGGACAAUAUAACUCGACAUUUGACACUUGUAAACGAUCUCAAUGGACAGUUACAUCAUUCUCUGUAUGCCCUGGAAAAUAUUAAUCGAAUAAAAAGAUAGAACAUUCUAUCACCAAACGAACAUUCAUCACUGUGGGACUUUUAUAAAUAAAUCAUAAUAUUAUUCACCCAAUAUAGUCUGUUUUAUUGUUUGGUGCUCAUAAUUAAAAUAUAUGGGUUGAAUGACUUUGUAAAUGCUAGAUUGUUUUCUAUGAAUCUAUUACGUUUCCAAUAAAUGUGUCGAUAAUAUUAUCGAGUUUGGAUAUUUUAGUUUAGACUGUAGUUUCUUGGAUUAAAAACUCGUAGUUAAUUGCUAAAUUGUCCCUAAAGUCUCGUUUCAUAUGAAGGAUUGGUUGAUUGGAAAGGAUAAACAAUUAUUUUCAAGUUAUGUUAAAAGAAAAAAGAAAAUUUUAAAUAAAACAAAUUUUUAAAUUUUAAAAAUGCUGACUUUUCAAAAUAUUGUUGUAGCAAAGUUGCCCAAUAUAUAUGUAUGCGUAUUUCACAUACUAAAAUUACUCCGUGAUUUACUAACAAUAAUGGUACCCAUAACAAGAAGACCCUACUCAAAAAUCACUCGUAAGAGACCACUUGUUUAUGUGACAGCAACCACUUUUGCGGUAAAAUCGUAAUUUACUAGGUCGACCGAUGAAUUUGGAGUUUUAAGCUAAAGAAGAGACCACUCGUUUAUUUACUCAAGUCUAAAAGUGCCCUGGCAAGAAGAGACCCAUUAGUCAAUAGUUCAGUCAACUCCACUUUCCAACCAACACGCCCAACAUUUUCUCUUCUUCCCGUUCCCACAACAUUUCCAUUCCUCUAAAACCCCAUAACCCAAACCCAACCAGACAUCUCUCUGCAAUUCUCGCUCUCUCUCUCUCUCUCUCUCUGACCUCCUCCUCCCACCUGAAAAUCACAUAAACUAUUUAUACAAAUCUCCCUUCAUAUUUUUACAUAAUAAAGAAUCAAUUACCGAAAAAUGAGCAGGUAUGGCCGCCAAACCACCUCACUUGUCCUGUAUUUCAAUUUCCAUUUCUUCUUGUCCUUGUUCUGCUACCAUCCUCUUCCCAUGGUCUUCUCUCAACUCUCCUCAAACCAGAAAAGCGCCAUGAUCCUUCUCUCCAACAACCUCAACACUCCUACUAGAGUUGUUUCAUGGGACGUCAACAAAGAACCAAACCCGUGUUUGUGGACGGGAGUUCGUUGCAAUCCCCCGACCAAUUCAUCCGUCAUCCACAUUUCACUGUCCGGCUAUUCCCUCUCUUCCUCGGACUUUUUGCCACUCGUUUGUCGGAUUCAGUCUCUGCAGAUUCUCGAUGUGUCCGGCAACCGUCUGACCACAAUCCCACCUGGGUUUAUCUUAAAUGUAGCAAGCUAGGCGGGUUAAAGCUGCUCAAUUUUAGUAUGAACAAUUUGGAGGGUCGUCUUCCCUAUUUUGUCAGGUUUUCUGGGUUGGAGGUUUUGGACUUUGCUCGGAACAACUUGACUGGAAGCAUUGACUCCCAGUUGGACGGGUUGGUUGGGCUCAGAAGCUUGAACCUUAGCUUCAACCAUUUUACUGGGUCUGUUCCGACCCGUAUCGGAAAAUCCAAGGUUUUGGAGGAGCUUAAGCUUUCUAUGAAUACGUUUGAUGGUCCUAUCCCUGCUGAACUUGUGGGAUACCAGAAUUUGACUCUGAUUGAUCUUAGCGGAAAUCGGCUUUCCGGGAGUAUUCCUGAUGGAAUCGGAGAGCUCGCCAAGUUGGAGGUUUUGAUUCUUUCGGCUAAUGGAUUAUCCGGCAGAAUCCCACAAAGCAUUUCCAAUACCACCGGCCUCUGGAGAUUUGCAGCAAGUUCUAACAAUUUCAAUGGUUCAAUUCCUGAUGGCAUUGCAAAGCAUCUGAAAACCUUGGACCUCAGUUUUAAUAGCUUGAGUGGGUCGAUUCCAUCGGACCUCUUGUCAUCGUUGAAUCUGCAUACUCUGGAUUUGUCGAACAAUAGAUUGGAGGGACAGAUACCGCCAUUUCUAUCUCCGAGCUUGGUCAGGUUGAGACUGGGAAGCAAUUCGCUUGAUGGGAAGAUACCUUCUACAGCAAAUGCAACACAUCAAAAGUUGACCUACUUGGAGAUGGAAAACAACAACUUGACUGGACCAAUUCCUCCUGAAUUGGGUGAUUGCCAGAAUUUGGCGUUGCUGAAUUUGGCUCAGAAUCACCUGUCUGGGGCUCUGCCGGUGGAGUUGGGUAGCCUUAGCCAUCUUCAGGUCUUGAAACUUCAAUUUAACAAUUUGAGUGGUCGAAUUCCAAUUCAAAUUACUCAACUGCCCAAGUUGUCCAUUCUGAAUAUCAGCUGGAUUCUCUCGACGGUUCAAUACCUCCUUCAGUUUCAAACAUGCAGAAUCUUACUAACAUGAACUUACAAGGCAACAAGCUGAACGGUUCCAUUCCCGCCAGUAUUGCCUUCAUGGAUUCUCUGAUGGAACUCCAACUUGGAGAAAAUCACUUAAGUGGUGACAUUCCA
rnacentral:lncRNA from 1 species